rnacentral:misc_RNA from 1 species
GUGAUCAAAAGCACUGUUAUGGUCUCCAAUAAAAUAGUAUCUUUACUUCGUUUCUUGUAUUUUAUUCGAAAUAUUUCGUAUAUAUAUAUUUAUAUUAAACAAAAAAAGAUGAGGUAUUCAACAACGUUUAAUCGAAAAAAAAAAUUCUUUGCGCUCGACUUGGCCUUGUAGAAAGGAAAUAUAAAAAAAGAGGUUAUAGGACUAGGAAAAAAGGAGGAGGAGCAGAAGAAGAAGAAGAAGAAGAAGAAGAAAAAGAGGAUGAUUAGUGUGGAAAAAACAACAAAUGUUCCUCUUAUUAUAUUUUCUUUAUGUGCCAUGUACUAUUGAAUUCUAGAUUAAUUAGAGCAUGGAAGAUACUGUUAAAAGCUUUAGUCUUGUUUCUUUUCUACCUACUUUAAAAUUACUAGUAGAAUUGAGUUAAUUUUUAUGCGAACUACUAAUAACCUCGGGUUUUUAUAUUUUUACUCUGUUUCAUCAAUUCUUUUAGUCCCUUCUAAAUUACUUUGGGUCUGUUUGUUUGAAAUGGAUUUAUUUUAUAGAUAGAAAUAAAAACAUAUUUACCAUCAUCCUGAACAAUGACAAGGAGCGUUAUAUAAUACUUUUGGCGUUAACAAAGGAAACCGUUUUUAUAUUGCAUAUAUUGUCUUCAUAUCCAGAUUGAUGUUCGCAUUAAAAAUUGCUUUUUCCUACAAAUUUGCUUUUUCUUUUUGUUUGGAUUUUUAUAACGGAAUUGAAAUUAAAUGAAAGAGAUAUUUGCAGUUUGAACUUGGAUUUGUAGUCUAUACAGAAUGUCAGAUAUGCUGAAGGCGUUUAAGGACGUUUCUUAAAAAAAACGGAUAUUUGCAUUCUAAAUUAACACCUGUUUUGCAAAUUCCCAAGGGCUAUAGUAUAGAAAAAAGCCUGUUUAGCUAAACGUAGAGCUAGAGAUAGGUUUGUAAUUGUCAUAUAUUGUUGGCUUUGUUAUUAGAGCAGAUGAAAGACGGAGCGUGGAACGUAUCUAUCUGCUCAAGGAUAUUGAGAAGAAUAGCAAACAAACAGGUUUGUAUUUGGUAAAUAGGCUGAAUUGAUCACGUUUUCCCUUUCUCAAUGUACCGAUUAUAUCGUUGUUGGUUAUUGAUAAAGUAACGAAAUUUGGAACUGACGAAACAUCCUGGAAGUGCCUCUCGGAAGAGAACCUGUCAUGAGCCUAAUAGGCCAGUUUAUGGAGGUAAUUCAGCAGUUUUUUCAUGUUGUUAUGGAAACGAGGUGUCAACUAAAACCAAACGUGGUUUGUCAACAUAGCAAAAUUGGGUUAAGAAAAGAGAGAGAGAGAGAGAGUAGGCUUACAUGUUAUACAGACCGCUAAAGGAUUUAUUUACUAAAGAAUGCGUAACGCUUUUUAAAGUAUUACAAUAUGAUAUUUAUUUAUAAUAUAAUCGUUACAGUAUGAUACAAUUUGUGGGCAGAGAAAGCCUAGUUAAUUCCUUUUAAUUUCAUUUAGGAAGGCAUUUCAAUGGCUAUUUCCCCUUAGAUAUUAAUCAUAAUAAGGAUAAAUCACUAUAGGCCAAUAUCAUUUCAAGCUAAAGCUCAAAUCCUCCUUGUCAACAAACAUUCCUUUCACACGUGCUAAUCGCGUAUACUUUUUUUACUGCAAAUGUCUGGAAUACUACUACCAGCUUCAAGUCGCUUAAAGAGUGAUUGGACCGAUUAUACGCUUAUUAUAGCGUCAAAUUGCGUUGGAAACGUGGGACAAUUAUCAGCUGAUUUGUUAAUUUCAACGCUCUGGCUGAAUAAAAUAGCUUAUUUGCAUACUGAUUUAUUACUUCCAGCUGUUGGUAAUGAUCCAUAUGCAACAGGUAAGAUCGAGAAAACUUGUAAAUUAAGUACCUGUUGUGAACUAUAUGAAAAUGAAGCCUUGAAAUUAGCAAUUAUACAAUUAAGGUCUAGGAUAGCAAAGGGUAGAAAAGGAGAGUAUGUAAGAAGAUUAGAACAUUGGAUACGAUGUUCAAAAUUUGAAAAUGUCAUCAUAGUAUCUUCAUCUAAUUUACACAAACGGCAAGAGUCUGAAAUAAAGGGCCCAACUUUCAAAUAUUUGAUAUCCGACACUUUAAAGGAAAGCGCCGGUAAAGUACUAAAAGACAGCCUUGAAUGGAAAGAGCACGAGUACGAAUCCAUUGAUAACGUUCAAUUACCCGGUAGCGGUAUAGCAUUACCGUUAUUCUCAAAGUGUUCAAAAUUCGAUAUGAAUAUAAUUUUAAUCUUCGUAUAUACGGAAAGAGGAGAUAAUCUACAAAAUGCUUAUAUACUAUGUAACAUGCUCAACGAUUGGAAAGGUUGGUUGGAUAUGAAAAAAAGUGGAAAAACCGAAAUUGCAAAAGGUCAAUGGAAACCUCCAGUAAGUUGGCGAUGGCGUCACGGUUACAAAAAGGAUGAUAUGUAUAAGUCUUAAACCAGUUGAUUAGGAUGAGACAAUAUUGUUCUCUUGUUAUUUUUUACAUUUCUUUUAGCUAACCCUGCCAAAGAAAUAGUGUUACAGUAAUAUUUAAAGUUUAAUACAUUUUUUAUGCAACGA